AGUGAACGCUGGCGGUAGGCCUAACACAUGCAAGUCGAACGGCAGCACAGUAAGAGCUUGCUCUUACGGGUGGCGAGUGGCGGACGGGUGAGGAAUACAUCGGAAUCUACUUUUUCGUGGGGGCUAACGUAGGGACACUUACGCUAAUACCGCAUACGACCUACGGGUGAAAGCAGGGGAUCUUCCGACCUCGCGUGAUUGAAUGAGCCGAUGUCGGAUUAGCUAGUUGGCGGGGUAAAGGCCCACCAAGGCGACGAUCCGUAGCUGGUCUGAGAGGAUGAUCAGCCACACUGGAACUGAGACACGGUCCAGACUCCUACGGGAGGCAGCAGUGGGGAAUAUUGGACAAUGGGCGCAAGCCUGAUCCAGCCAUACCGCGUGGGUGAAGAAGGCCUUCGGGUUGUAAAGCCCUUUUGUUGGGAAAGAAAAGCAGCAGGUUAAUACCCCGCUGUUCUGACGUUACCCAAAGAAUAAGCACCGGCUAACUUCGUG
rnacentral:rRNA from 1 species